GGCGAACGCUGGCGGCGUGCUUAACACAUGCAAGUCGAACGGAAAGGCCCUGCUUUUGUGGGGUGCUCGAGUGGCGAACGGGUGAGUAACGCGUGAGUAACCUGCCCUUGACUUUGGGAUAACUUCAGGAAACUGGGGCUAAUACCGGAUAGGAGCUCCUGCUGCAUGGUGGGGGUUGGAAAGUUUCGGCGGUUGGGGAUGGACUCGCGGCUUAUCAGCUUGUUGGUGGGGUAGUGGCUUACCAAGGCUUUGACGGGUAGCCGGCCUGAGAGGGUGACCGGCCACAUUGGGACUGAGAUACGGCCCAGACUCCUACGGGAGGCAGCAGUGGGGAAUAUUGCACAAUGGGCGGAAGCCUGAUGCAGCAACGCCGCGUGCGGGAUGACGGCCUUCGGGUUGUAAACCGCUUUCGCCUGUGACGAAGCGUGAGUGACGGUAAUGGGUAAAGAAGCACCGGCUAACUACGUG
rnacentral:rRNA from 1 species